rnacentral:rRNA from 1 species
CCCUUAGAUGUCCUGGGCCGCACGCGCGCUACACUGACAUGUUCAACAAGCCUCCUAGUUCGACAGGAUUUGGGAAAUCUUUGAACGCAUGUCGUGAUAGGGAUAGAUCAUUGCAAUUAUUGAUCUUGAACGAGGAAUUCCUAGUAAACGCGAGUCAUCAGCUCGCAUUGAUUACGUCCCUGCCCUUUGCACACACCGCCCGUCGCACCUACCGAUUGAAUGUUUCGGUGAAGAUUCCGGAUAGGACUUUUUUGAUUUAUUUCAAUUUUGUCUUAAAAGCUAUCUAAACCUCAACAUUUAGAGGAAGGUGAAGUCGUAACA